AGAGUUUGAUCAUGGCUCAGGACGAACGCUGGCGGCGUGCUUAACACAUGCAAGUCGAACGGAAAGGCCCCUUCGGGGGUACUCGAGUGGCGAACGGGUGAGUAACACGUGGGUGAUCUGCCCUGCACUUUGGGAUAAGCCUGGGAAACUGGGUCUAAUACCGAAUAGGACCGCAUGUUUCAUGGUGUGUGGUGGAAAGCUUUUGCGGUGUGGGAUGGGCCCGCGGCCUAUCAGCUUGUUGGUGGGGUAAUGGCCUACCAAGGCGACGACGGGUAGCCGGCCUGAGAGGGUGUCCGGCCACACUGGGACUGAGAUACGGCCCAGACUCCUACGGGAGGCAGCAGUGGGGAAUAUUGCACAAUGGGCGCAAGCCUGAUGCAGCGACGCCGCGUGGGGGAUGACGGCCUUCGGGUUGUAAACCUCUUUCAGUAGCGGCGAAGCUCCAGGAUUUUUCUUGGGGUGACGGUAGGUACAGAAGAAGCACCGGCCAACUACGUGCCAGCAGCCGCGGUAAUACGUAGGGUGCGAGCGUUGUCCGGAAUUACUGGGCGUAAAGAGCUCGUAGGUGGUUUGUCACGUUGUCUGUGAAAACUCACAGCUUAACUGUGGGCGUGCGGGCGAUACGGGCAGACUGGAGUACUGUAGGGGAGACUGGAAUUCCUGGUGUAGCGGUGGAAUGCGCAGAUAUCAGGAGGAACACCGGUGGCGAAGGCGGGUCUCCGGGCAGUAACUGACGCUGAGGAGCGAAAGCGUGGGGAGCGAACAGGAUUAGAUACCCUGGUAGUCCAA
rnacentral:rRNA from 1 species